rnacentral:rRNA from 1 species
CCAAGGAGUCUAACAUGUGCGCGAUCAUUGGGACUUGAAUAAGCCUAAAGGCGUAAUGAAAGUGAAGGUCUUCCUUAGCGUUGGCCGAGGGAGGAUGGUCGGCUUCAAGGAGCCGACUCGCACUCCCGGGGCGUCUCGUGCUCAUUACGAGCAGAGGCGCACCUAGAGCGUACACGUUGGGACCCGAAAGAUGGUGAACUAUGCCUGGUCAGGACGAAGUCAGGGGAAACCCUGAUGGAGGUCCGUAGCGAUUCUGACGUGCAAAUCGAUCGUCGGAACUGGGUAUAGGGGCGAAAGACUAAUCGAACCAUC